UCUAUUUUAAUGCUUGUUUUUUUUUUUGCUGUUGUAACUUUUUUUUACUACCUACACAAACAACCGCUGUACGCCUAUAAUUUUUUCACUUUGUCUAUUUACAUUUUUUUUAGAAAAUAUUCGAAGUUGAUAAAAAUUUAAAUAUCGGUUUACCUUACAACACCUUAGCUUUAUACAGGCUAAGAUAUUACAAAAACUUGCUUUUAAAAAAGUAUUCUGCAAUAAUAAAAAAUGACAAAUAUUUGGUAAUAUAUAACAUAACAUGUAUUUAUGAGUGAAUAUACACGAGUACAAAAAUUACUUACAAAACUACAAUGUUAUAUAUACUUUAAAAUAAAACAUUCCGAAAUGUUAUAUAUCGCAUAUAUUACAUAUAUAAUAAUGGUUUAUAUUGUGUACAGAUAUGAUGUGUUAAAAAAAAAAAAAAAAAAAAAAAAAAAAAAGACAACCUUUUAUUUCUUUUUUUUUUUUUUUUUUUUACUCGUAACGUUAUGUUCUUGUUUUUAUUUUAUUUUUUUUUCUCUUUUAAUAACAGAAUGCUAAUGAACAAAGAAACAAUUUUAUAGCAAAACUAAAAGCAUCUGCUAAAAUAAAUAAAGAGAACUCUACUGAACGAAGUGAUAUAUUUAAAGAUGAUUAUAAAAAUAUGACAAGAAUAUUGAAUGAAAAUUAUUUUUAUAACGAAUCACAAAAAUUAAAAGAAAUAAUAAUUACAAAUAAAUAUUUAAAUAAAGCUAAAAAUAUAAUAAAUAAUAUACCAAUUUUUUUGUAUACAAUAAUUGAAGAGUUUGAAUCGACAGGGUCUAACUUUCAAGAGGAUAUGUAUUUAUUUAUUCUUCUUUCUUUAAAUAAAUGGAUAAAAAAGAUCAUAAACGAAUGUGAAAAAUAUACUUCGUAUAAAAAACCCAAAAACGUAAAUAAAAAAAAGAAUGAAGAGAACGAUGAAUAUAAAAAAUUGAAUGAAUAUUUAAAUGAUAUAUUACAAAGAGGAGCUGAACAAACAGUUUUAUUUGUUGAUGAUAAACCGUUUUACACUUGCCCUUUCAAUUUAACAUACAACAUAAAUACUUCUUUUUUAACUUAUUAUUUUUUAUACAUAAAUAAAAAUUUGUUUGAUUUUAUUAAAUGUGAAUAUUUUGAUUUAGGAAAUGGAUCGAAAGAAGAUAAAGUAAUGAGAAAUGUCGGAAAAAUAGGGAACAUAAAACAAAAACAAAACAAAAAUAAUAAAACAGAUGACAAUAAAACAAAAGUAAAAGUCAUUUGUUUAAAGAAGACAAAAACAGAGAAUAUAUAUACGAAUAAACAUAUAUAUAAAUAUCAACUUUUUAAUGAAAGUAUAGACAUGAAUAAUUUUUCAAUUAACUUAAGUUUUUAUAUUAAUUAUGAUUAUAUAUAUCCUAAUAUAUUUUUAAUUUAUAAUUAUUUAUUACAUGAAGAAACAGCAAACAUUAUGAAGGUAGUAUAUAAAUUACAAAAAAAUAAUUUAGAUUUAAUGUUUUACCAGGAUGCUUCAAUACUAAUACAAGUGUUGUUAUACUUUUUUGAUAAUUUGAAAAAAUUAUUUUUUAAUGCCGUAAUAAAUGAGAAAAAGCAAAAACAAGCUGAAGUUGGAGUUGGAGUUGGAGUUGAAGAUAUAGAUCAUAACAACAAUAAUACAAAUGAUAAUUUGUAUGUGAUUAAAGAAAAAAUAAAUAAGACAAAAAAAGACACUAUUUCUUUUUUUUCUCCUCCUGUUGCUUCUUCUUCUAAUUAUAAUGGUUUAAACGAUUCUAAUAUUAGUACAAGUGAAAUAACAAUUGAAACUAAUACAAUAAAUGAUUAUAACACUUUUAUAGUUUCUAUACGUUUUAUGUUAUUAAAUAUAUUAAAAUAUAUUCAUAUAAUAAUUAAAAAUUCGUAUAGAAAUAGUAUUUGUACAUUUUGGCAAAAAAAUUGUAUGACCUAUGUCCAUAAAACAGUAAAAGAUAAAAUCGAAAUAAAAGAAAUCAGUUUAAAAAAUAGUAAACAGGUUGACACAAAUGAAAAUAUUGUUUAUAAAAAUUUUACUUCUAAUCAAUUUGAACAACUUAAUGUAUUAAAAUUAGCACAUAUGUGUGAAGAAAAUAUAUGCUACAUCCAAGCAAAAAAAAAUAACCAUUAUAAAAAAGGAUUGGAGACCCAAAAUAUAAAUAAUUAUGGUAGCCAUAGCGAUAACGACAGUGAUAGUGAUGAUUAUGAUAGUAGUGCCGUACCAUAUGAAAAUAAAUUUUGUUUUAAUAUGUCAGGUGUUAACAGGUUAAGUGUUAGUAGUCCAAGUACUAAGGGAUCAGGUGAUAAUAGUCCAAGUACUAAGGAGUUAAGUGAUAACAAACCAAAUAUUCCAAACCCAAAUGCUGAACAAAGAGUGUUAUGUUACAGUUUACAUAAAAAAGUUAGUGACCAUGUAGAACAAGUAAAAAUAAAUAUUGCGAACCGUAAUAGUAGAGAUAUAUAUACAGGUAUUUUGUUAAAAAAAAAUAAAUAUAAAUUAGAUACGAAUAGGAAUAGCAAACAAACUAACAAACAAACUAACAAACAAACCAACAAACAAACCAACAAACAAACCAACAAACAAACCAACAAGCAAACCAACAUAAACAACAAACAAAAAAAUAGUAUCCCUACUACUACUACUACUACUACUACUACUACUACUACUGCUGCUACUACUACCAUUAUACCAACAGUUUUAAAAAAAAUGACCAUGCCAAAAAUGAAAAAUGAAACUGUAAUGGUAAAAGCAAAAGCAGAUGUAAAAACAAUUCAAAGCGUUAUAUACAAAACAGACACAAACCGUGACAACUCUGUUAAACCUACAAAAGUGGAUAGUAAAAUAAUAAAAAUUAUAAAAAAAAAAGAAAUAAAAAAUGACCAAGUGGACUCAGAAGCGAAUAAAAAUGAUGAUAAUGUACCAUUAUCAAAAACAGUAUCUAUAACUACAAAUAAAAACUAUUCAAAUAGUUUGUUUAAUAGAAAAGGAACUGAGGGAAUUGUAAAAGAUAUAUAUCUUUCUAAGGAAGAGAGAAAAAAUACUAUUUCUAAAAAAGUAUUAAAAACAGUUUUAUCUAAUACUGUUUCCAAGAGUUCGUGUACAAAUCCCGAGGUCUUGAAAAAAAUAAACACAAAAAAAGGUGCAAAGAAGGACGCUUAAAAAAAAUAAAACAUAAAAAAUGCGCA
ensembl:lncRNA